rnacentral:rRNA from 1 species
UACGUAGGUGGCAAGCGUUGUCCGGAUUUACUGGGCGUAAGCGCGCGCAGGCGGACUGAUCAGUCUGGGGUGAAAUCUCACGGCUCAACUGUGAGCGGUCCCUGGAUACUGUCAGUCUUGAGAGACCUAGAGGAGAGCGGAAUUCCCGGUGUAGUGGUGGAAUGCGUAGAUAUCGGGAAGACACCAGUGGCGAAAGCGGACUCUCUGGGGGUUUCUGACGCUGAGGCGCGGAAAGCGUGGGGAGCCGAACCG